rnacentral:rRNA from 1 species
ACGCUGGCGGCGUGCCUAACACAUGCAAGUCGAACGGAGUUGCCCUUCGGGACAACUUAGUGGCGAACGGGUGAGUAACGCGUGAGGAACCUGCCUUUCAGUGGGGGACAACAGUUGGAAACGACUGCUAAUACCGCAUAAUGUCAUCGAGCGGCAUCGCUUGAUGACCAAAGAUUUAUUGCUGAAAGAUGGCCUCGCGUCUGAUUAGCUAGUUGGUGGGGUAACGGCCCACCAAGGCGACGAUCAGUAGCCGGUCUGAGAGGAUGAACGGCCACAUUGGGACUGAGAUACGGCCCAGACUCCUACGGGAGGCAGCAGUGGGGAAUAUUGGGCAAUGGGGGAAACCCUGACCCAGCAACGCCGCGUGAAGGAAGAAGGCCUUCGGGUUGUAAACUUCUUUUAGCAGGGACGAAGAACGUGACGGUACCUGCAGAAAAAGCAACGGCUAACUACGUG